GAGGAAGGAAGGAAAUCUGAUCAUUCCCAGGCAUUCAGGUAUAUGGGGAAAAGAACAUCAAUGGAUUGAGAAUGAGAGAUUGUGCAUGAAGAAAAUGGUGUAAGGAUGAAAAAUUCAUGAAAAAUAGCAAGACAAGACUAACAGGUGUCAUCAGAACCUGCUUGUAUUACUUAAACCUAAUCUAGCUGAAUUAAUAAACGAAACAGAAAACUUCAGCCACCUUGGCUCUAAAUGCUAUCCCACAGCCGGUUUGGUAUUGUUCUUUGAUACAGACAAUGAGAUCCUGUGCCACAGAAAGGUUGACUGAGGGUUUGCCUUGCAUGCAUGGGGCUUUGGGUUUGCUUUCCAACACCAGGGAGACAGCAAAAGGAGGCCUGGCAGCUGAUGUCAUUUGGGAACUGGAAUCGCUAGAUUUGGGUCAGUUUUGUUGUGGUUAGGCCUAUAGUGCUGUCUCUCUCUUUGUUGCUUGCUAUAAGCUAGAAUACCGGGAAGCCGUUUUCAGGGAAGAGAUCCAGGGAAGAACAGUUACCACCAUCAAAGUUCCAUGGGAGAACAGACCUUGGAAAGUGUCCACUGUGAUCAAGAUAGCUUUUAUUGAAUUAAGGUAAUGUGUUAGGAUGAUGGAGGGAUUUAUUUUUAUUUUCUCUUUAUGUUUUGAAAAAUGAAAGAGUCCCAGUCUUGGUUAGGGUGGGGGGUCUCAUCUAGACCACGAGCUAUGGAUUCAAGGCUGCCUGCAGCCUACACUAACACGGGACCUAUGGUUAGCUGAUGAAGCCCUCUGUGGCUUACUUUCCAUUGGGGGAGUAAUCAUGCCAGUAUUUGUUACAAGGCUCAAAGCAGGCAAUCUGCUUAACGAUCUUGGGAUGGUCUGAGAUACACAGCACUCUGGAAAUGGUUGCUGGUGUGAUUAGAAGGGGCAGCAGCCCAGUGGGCCCAGGAUACUCAUAAGCUGCAGAUACUGUGCACCUGCUGAGAGAAGAGCUGCAGACAGAUUCGGGUGAGCAGAGCCAGCUGGCUCAGCAGCAAGAUCUCUCCAUGAGUCGCUGUUUUCGCCUUAGCCCUCCCUUCUAAGCAGAUCUGCUUACAGGCUCUGAGAAAAACCUCUUUAGCCCCCUAGGUCGAGCCUUGGCUGAAACAAUUUGUCCUUCACCACAGCUCAGGCUGUGACUAGGCAGGUCCAGAGCUCCCCCAGGCAACUCAACUUAUAGGGUAAAGUAUUUAACUCAGUAGGCAGGUCAAAGAUGUGACAGAGUCAUGGUGUUUAGUCACUUAUGGUUCUAAUUGCUUGGGGGUGGUUAUGCAAUCUGAAAUGUCACUAAAUGUGGGAGGCAGGGUAUGAGUCAGGGGAAAACUCCAGGUCUUCUUGCCCUUUCGUUGGAAAGCUACCUUACUGUGCCCUUCUAUUGUGGUGACUCUGAAACUGUUUAAAAAUUACCCAAAAGAGGUAAUAAUGGGACCAGAGCUCCAGGCAUUAAUAAAUAUAUUUUACAGUACAUCAUUUAGCAUCUCUAUAUCUAGAUAGAUACGUCCCCUUGUUCUUAGGAGGCUGGCUGUGGUUGGGUGGGAUUAUAAACAGAUGGAGACAUAGUCAAAGCUCACAUAAAGCCUCAUUGGGCACAGAAAAUGAAGGCAUGUCUAGUAACACAACCCUUUAGAAAGGAAGACAGUUGGACUGCUUCUCAAAGAAUGAGUAGGAAUGAAACCAUGUGUGCAGGGACAUGGCAAAAAUGUUUCAUGAGCUGAUACAAAUUUUUAAUCAGAGAAAACAGCACAAAUACAUUUUGUUUACAUUCUCCUAGUUCACAAGGCUUUAGAUGCAUGUCUUUCAAAUUAUUCACAGAUGACCUGCAAAGUAUCAAAGGCCCAUGGAAUCAGUUAGCUCUAGGUGGAGGGCCACAGAGGUAAAGGGGAGCAGCUGGGAGAUGGAAGGUAUGGAUCAUCAGAGCAUCAGUCUCCAGACCCAUGGGAUGACAGACGACACAGAAUCAUUACUCAGCAGGAGCAUGGAUUUGGUUGUGGCUUCUCAGUGAAGGCAAGACUUCAGGAGUAAGGGAUGUCCCCAGUAAAGCAGAGGAAAGAGUAUGUCUAUGAAGGCAGUCUCCAUGCAUAUGGUGCAAAGAAAAAGACACCCAGUAAGGAUGAAGCAUGUUAUAUGAAUACAAAAAUUCAGAUGAGGCUGAAAAGGAAAGCGGACAAUUUGAGGAUGGGUCCCAAAAGCUCCUGAUCACAGGAUGGUGGACCGUUGCUUCUCUGGGAAGAUAGUUUGUUGACAUUUGGCAAGAUGCAAGGGGGAAAGAAACAGCAGAGUUGUUGAAUGAUGUAGAGUCAAGGCGUUUUAGAAAGCAGGAAAAUAUAAGGACCUCAUAAUCAUUCAACUCUGAAGGUUGAGUGGGAAGAAUGGGUCAUCUUUAAGCCUCUGUCUUGGCCAGUUGGGUAGAUGGAGGGUUCUCCUUUAAUGAACUGGGAAAGAGUUAGCUAUUCACUGGGUGGAUGUGUGAGCUCACUGCCAGAUGGUAGAUUUGCGGUGACAUCCUACUGAAGGAUCCAGCAAGUAGUGAAUACACAGGUGAGGAGCAAUGGAGAAUUUACUGAGGUCAUAGAAGGGCAAACAAAGUCUUAUGGUCAAAAUUUUUUGCUAGUGUAUUGAAUUUUGCUAGAAGUCAUGGGUUGAUUAACCCAGGAUGAUUCAAAAGAAUUCACUGUAGUUAAUUAAUGCAGUCCCCCCGCCCCCAAGCACACACACAUACUAGGUAUGAUCAGGCCAAUCAUCUUCCCCUGCCAUGCCUUAAAAUACCAUGCUGAUCUAUAUUUUCCAUGCCAUAACAAAAAGUUGGGAAGCAUGAGGCUGGGAACCUGUGGAUGGAGAAUUAGCAGAGGACACAGAAAGGACCUUUAAGGUUUUAUUAUUGUGUUUUAUUGUAGCACUGGGGAUGGAACCCAGGGCCUUGUGCAUACUAGGCCAUCACUCUGUCACUGAGCCAUGUUCCCAGUCAAGGAGCAUCCUUUCAAAAGCCCGUGGAGAAGAGGCACCACCAUAACACUAAGGAAGAAUAAAGAGGCAGCAUGGGAGAGGAGAGCGAGGGGAGAAGGUGUUUUCUAGAGGAGUUGAAAGGCCAGCAGGUUCAAAAGCACCAGUCAGCCCAAGCAGGACUAAAGCAUCUUCCCUUUAUUUGGCAGAGAGAAAACAGUCAGUGCUUUUUUUAAGGGUUCUCUCUGUCAAGUGGCAGAGGCUUAGCUGCAGAGGAGAAGGAAGACAGCGAGAGUAAAGAUUUGUUGCCUGAAGACAUUGGCUGUGAAUGAAAGACAAGAGCCCACAGUGUAGCUGUGCUGGGACAGAAGUGAGAGGUGAGCCAUGCUUGAGGCUUCAGCUACAUACAGGUUUGAUUAACCAGACUUCUCCCUAAAUGAGAGGUCCUGUUCUCUACUCUACUGGGUACAUUCCAUAUCCUAACUCAGGAUGUGCAAGGUUUACAUGUUGAUUUUGCCACAGAAUUAUUCAAACAACAUUAAUUAUAGAUACUCCAAUUCCAAACAGCUUACUGCAUUUACGAGUGUGUUGGCUAGACAGAUUCCAUGAGGGGAAAGCAGAUCGUGUAGCAUUAGCUAGCAAUAAUGAAAUAUCUUAAAACAUUAGGCAUUGGUGGACAGGUAUUCUCUUUCCCUUGAGCUCCUCAUCUAUCCAGGCUUAUUUUCAAGUAUAAGGAGAGAUUCUGUGUCUCUGCUCUGCACAGUGGCCUUUCUCCUUCAUUCAUCUGUUAAGUAACAUUUUCCCACCACAGUGGUUGCACCAUAUGUUCUCUUUCUGCAGGAUUUUUGACAUUUUUAUGGAGUCAAUGGUAUUUGGAGUGAACAAAAGCCACCUUAAGAAAUGGUGUUACUGCUUUUCCUUCAAUAUCUAAAAGGAAAUGCAAAGGCGAGAAAACAAAAGUCAUCAAAAUCUACGGACUGGAAGAUACCUGGUGCUCCACAUUCCAUCUUGAUGAAGAAACCAAGCUCAGAAAGGCAGAGAAUCCUGUUAAAGCUGCAUUACAAACCAAACCCAUAUUAGCAUUUGCAAGCUAUGACCACCGUAUCAAUGUUGUUUCAACCGUUAACACUGUUUUCCAAAGGUGAAGAUUUGAUCUAUUCUUUAUUAUAACUUAAUUGUCUUUAUUACUAUUCUUCAAGCUUGGGUUAGGAUUGCAACUCAGCAGGUAGCGAGCUUGCCUAUAUACAUGCAUGAAGCCCUGGGUUCAGUUCCCAGCACCACAUAAAACUGACUGAGAUGGCCCCGUGCCUUAAUCCCAGCACUUAUAAAGUGCAGAGAGAAGAGUCGUGAGUUCAAGAUUAGAGAUCCUAACAACAACAACAAGGUCAUCAAAUUGCCAGAGUAAUAACCAAAAUAACCUUAUGGUAGUUAGCAAUUUGAAUACAAGUAUAAUGCCCUCUGUGGGCAGGUGGUCUUGGGCUGUAAAAGAAAACAGACUGAGCAAGUCCUGAGGAGCAAACCACUGAGCAGUGUUUCUCCAUGGCCUCAGAUUCAGUUCCUGCCUCAAAAUUCCUGCCUUGAGUUCCUCUUAUGACUUCCCUUAAUGAUUGACUAUAACUGUAAGCUGAAAUAAACACUUUCCACCCCAAGUUGCUUUUGGUCACAGUGUUUAUCAUAUCAGUAAAAACCUAAAUUGGGCAGAUACUUUGCCAGAUAGAUGAUAGAUAGAUAGAUAGAUAGAUAGAUAGAUAGAUAGAUAGAAAGAUAAGAUAAGAUAAGAUAAGAUAAGAUAAGAUAAGAUAAGAUAAGAUAGAUAGGCAGGCAGGCACAUAUGCACCAUUUCAAUUUGUCAUCAACAUAAAAAAAAUAGGAAAUAGCGUAAGCUCUUUCCUCAUUGAAUCUUUGAAAUUCUGCAUGUAUUUUCCACUUACAGUAUGUCUCAGUUCACAGUGAGCCCAUUCAAGUGCUCAGUAGCCAUGUGUGACUGAUAGCUUUCAUGCUAGAUAGUACAACUAGGGGGUGGACAUGUAGGAGAGUGGAACUGAGAAGAGGUAGGGGCCAGAUAACAAAGACAUCACCCAACGGGGCUGGUUUUCUCCUCAGAUCCUGUCACAAAGGAGCUAAACAGACUCUUGCUUAUCAGAUUUCACUCUGCACUUCAAUAAUCUGAGAAUCUUGCUAAAAUGAAGAUUCUAGUGUUCUAGGUCUUGGAAGGAGUCUGAUAUUAGACAUUUCAAACAAACUCCCUGGAUGAGAUGAUGCCCACUGGCCCAUGGACACACAUAAUGUUCAUUACUUUUCUGGUCUCUGACAAAAUCCUUGGCAUUAACAACCAAAAGAAGAAAGGUCUGUUUUGGCUCAUGGUUUCAGUGUGUACAGUCUGGCACUGGGUCCCAGGCACAUGGGCAGAGAACAUUAUGAUACCUUAAGUAAGUGAUAGAGACGAGUCUUCAUGCUGAACAGGACGCAGAGAAUGAGAGCGGGACAGAGAGCAACUAUAACCUUCAAAGGCACACCCCUUUGUACUUCAUCUAGUCCCAACCUCCCAAAGGUCCCAACACUUCCCAAAAUAACAUCACCUGCUGGGGACCAAGUGUUAAUACAUGAGGCUAUGGGGACAUUUUGUAUUCAAAUGUAAUAAGUAGCAGGGAUCUAGAAUAGAAAUGAAAGAACACUUUCAAAGAUUAUUUUAGCUAUAGGAAAUGAAAAAAUAACUGUAGUUAGUAAUCAAGUUGAAAAUAAAUGGCCAAAAUAUUUUUCAGUUUAGCAGUAGAUACCUAACAGUUACCUUCAGACUGAGUUGCCCCUCUUGCAUAACCAUCAGUGUGAAAUAAGGCUGUGGAUGGGAACCAGUGUCGGGUAAUUCAUUUAUUUAAACCUUUCUAGGGAACUCAUUCAUCCCUGUUGAAAGGAUAAAGGCAUUUGGAGCACAAACUGCCUGUGAUGUAAUGCUCCCAGGGAAGAGCACUGCCAUUCACAAAUGAGCUGGGAACCACAAGACUAUAGCUAAACUGUCUGUCUAGAGGUUGGAAAUAUGAUUAAUGAAUCCCAGUGUUUGACUGAUAAAAUGUGCAACAGAGGUACGAGAGUGGGAAAGGGAAGAAAAGAAAUGGCGACCAAAUUGGUGGAUUGUUUUUAUUAUGUUUGCACAAAUUUAGGGGAGGUCAGUUGCCUGACAAUAACCCCAUGGUGUUUGAAGUUUAUAGUUUUAUUACACUCCGACUGUUUAAAUUAUAAACUACUUGAUGGUAUUACUUUUUAAAACUACAGUAAUUCCGAAUUUAUAUGUUAGAAGAUGAAUCUUCAAAAACCUGGAACAACAUAAGCUGGUGAUUUCAAGCUAUAUUAAAGACUCACAAAUGGAUUUUUAAAAACAUCCAGUGAUUUAAUUAAGUAGAUGAUUGAUAUUUUAAAAUAGAAGAAUUCCAACAUGUGCAUCUAUGUUCUUUUAGAAUCCAAGAAUUUAAACUGUGUCAUUAUUUAAACUUUGCCAAGGCCAACAAGCUGGCUGAUUUCUCUUGAUUUGGAAAAGAAGGGGAAAGAAUAUUUGUGGGCAUAUGGCAGAGAAACACUUAAUAAUGGCUGCCAUUUCUAAACAUGCAUUUUUUUUUUCCCUAACAUGAGUAUCCUCUGACUUAAUUACUUAAGUCAGGGUAUGUUGCUGUUUAUGUAGAGCAGUUACAUAUGGGUCCUAAAUUGGAUCAAAACAUGAUUUUUCCCGGGUCAUGGGACUUUGGAUGCCUCGAACUAUAUGUUAUGUUGUCAUUGAAUGUGACCCAGUUCCCAGCAGACUCUGAACUUGCAGAACUUACUAUCUCUUGUCCCAUCUGUUGAUUGAGUCCCUGCCUAGUUCUCUGACAGUGAUGCUAUGUACAGCAAAUGCUUCUGCAAAAUAACUCCAAGAUUAGGAUGCCCUGAUUCCAAGAUAUGCGUUUUCCAUUAUAUAACUAAUUUGUCUCUUGAUCCUUAGUUUCAAAAUAAAAAUCCCAACAUUCCCUCUAGUGGUCCCUAGAAUCUCAAGAUACCCAGAGAAAGAAGUGAGUGGGUGGUGUGGUUUGGGGUAAUGAUAAUUGCAUAUUAAUGGGACUCUCCUUGGGCCUAAUACCACAGAAACAGAGACCACUCCAGAGCUAGAGAUCACCGGCAAGUUAUAAGCAGGUACAAAAGACAAUUGGUAUCCAUCUCUGUUCACUGUGUUCCAGAUGCUGUGUUGGACACUUAGGCAAAUCUCUUAAUCCACUUUCCAACACCAAUGACUAGUAGUGCUUUACAGUUUUCAGUAAAGAAACUGGUAAGUCAGAAAUAUUGAGUUAUCUGCCCAAGAGCACAAAGUUUGUCAGCAGAAGAACCGCACCACAGAGUUGGUGUGCCAAACUCUGAAGCCAGUGUGUGAGAGGGGAAAGGGAUAGGGGGUGAUUGAUGUGGGGCUCCAGAGGAAAACAUGUAAGACGUGGGGCUUUCCAGAUGCACAAAAACAGAAAAGGACAGAUUGAUGGCAUGAAAAGCCCACUUCCUAUUCUGUAACAGCCAGUUUACAAGUAGUUAAGGGCAACCAAGCAUUUCCUAUGUCUCCUGGGAAAGGUUGUAUAAUGGAGACCAACCACCUUAGAACACACAUUUAUGGGCUGUGCAUUGUGCAACAAAUCAAGGCCAAGUACUUUCAUUGAGCUCCAGUCUGACAGUUGGUACAUUUGUCACUUGCUGGCCCUGCAAACCUUCUUAACUGCUCUAUUCUACCCAUGGGACACAUACAUGAAAAAAGUGACUCAUCGAUGACUUCUUUCUUUCUUUCUUUCUUUCUUCCUUUCUUUCUUCUCUUUUUUUCCUGAGACAGGGUUUCUCUGUGUAACAGUCCCAGCUGUCCUGGAACUCACUUUAUAAACCAGGCUGGCCUUGAACUUAUAGAGAUCCACAUGCCUCUGCCUCCCAAGUGCUGGGAUUAAAGAUCUGCAUCACCACUGCCCGGCGAUGACUUGUUUCUUUGAGCAUUUUCUAAAUUGAUAUGUUAGAUAUUGUUGACUGGAAGAUAGACAAAAGGAUAAUCACACACGAGAUAAAUUGCUUAGAUGGAUGAAACAUUGAAUGGGAGAGAGAGGAAGUGGGAGCAUGUGUAAGACUCACAUGUUUUGUGGCUGAUGAAGACCCUGGGUCAUCUCAACAUCUAUAGCACCAGCUUCCCCAUAGACUCCUUUCUUCGCCUCUCAUCACCCUCCAGUCACAGGGGCUUUUGUGUGUCAAGGCAUCUAACUCAGCCCUAUCUUGGGGCUUUGCACUGAAUGUCCCUUCUAGAACACCCCUGCUAUAGAUGGUCCCAUGUCUAACUUUGUGUUACUUCAGUGUCUACUCAAGAGGUCACUUCUGACCAUCAUGUGUAAAGCAGUUUCUAUUCUCAAGCUGUAGCACAUAAUCAGAACACCAAACAACCACUUAACAUAUCAUUUCCGUGGUGAUUUUCUCAGGCUACUCAAACUAUAUCCUUCCCCAAACACACACACACACACACACACACACACACACACACACACACACACACACACACUACACUACAUAAAGGAAGAGAUUUUGAUUAAUUACUAUAUUCUCAAUGUCUGGCAUUCUGCCCAGCAAAAUAUCAUCAGAUGAAAGAAAGAGGGAAGGAAUAAGAAAAGUAGAGAUGGAAAGAGGGAGGGUGGAGGAGAGACGGAGUAAAGUGAAAGGAAGGGAGGAUGGAUCCCCCACAGUGACUUGUCUGGGGUCCUGAUGAGAACUGAAACAUCCCAUCAUGUGUUUGUUGAGAGACUGUGAGGGAAAUAAAUCUGCUGCACUGCAGUAUACAAUAGGUGGUGGUGAUGUAUGGUAUGGUAUGGGGAAAGAUUAUGAAGCUGAAGGAUGGGUAUGACCACUGCCUAACAUAAUAGGAAAAGAUGCAGGAAGUGAUUUGUUAUUCCCAAGGUUACUGUAGUUCUAAAAAGCUGGUGACUAUGGCAAAGACAUUCCAGACUCAAAGGAACAGCUAGAUGUCACUAUGCAACCCUUACGUAAGUAAAAGUAGAUGGCAUUACUGUGGGUGACAAACGACCAGUUUAAAGUCAGUCCUCAGGUGACACUACCAGCUUCUUCCUUCCGGACUCUCCCGUAAGGUUUGCUUAUCUGGCUUUCCAAGUAGAGGAACGGGAUUAGCCUGUAUGCUUUGGCUAGUCACAUCAGAGGUCAUUGUGUCAUCUAAGAAGCUAUUUUUAACUCUGAUCUUUUCCAGGAUGCCUUUCUAUCAGCUCGUAAUUGGGGCUGCAUAAUGAGCAUAUGUUCUGGUUAUAGGACAGCCCAUAUGGCUUCCACAUGGCAGCACUGUACGGCCCUUUCCUGAAUCUCUAUCAUGGCCAGGGAUGCUCUCUCCAUCCUUUUAGUUCUUGUUGUUCUCCCCCAUGAAUAAAUCCCAAAACCCACUCCAGAGAAUGUUCAGGGUCUUUCUGCUCCCUUGUAAAGAUCUCCAGGCGGCAAAUAGAAGCCUUGCGUGGUCCGCAGACACUACCGGCUGUGCAGAACUUGAAUAACACGUUCUAACUGUCACGUUCUACCGUGGUAACGAUAAGACAAAGAAAUGCCCACUUUUUAAUUGGCCUUUCUGUGGUACAUGUCUAUUCAUGUGACUCUCUUCAGUUUUCCCCAAGUGGUAGAAUUUAUAAAGGGCUCUUCACACACAUGGUAUUUCAUCAUCAUCUAUGGAAAGGAUGCAUGCAAGAGGAGAUUGUGGAUCAACUUGGAAUCAUACAGGAGCUGAGGUCAUGCUCAUUUGGAGAUAAUUCACCUAUGCAUCUUUUUGAAAUAUGUUGUCCUACCACCAAUGUGUAUAUCAAUAAGGGAUUGUUAGCUUUCAAAACUGUAGUCAGUUAAUGCCAUCUUCAAAAUGCCAGGCUUUUCUCAAUUUUUUUGGUUUAAAAAAUGCUAUGUUGGUGUCCUACUAAAAUUUUAAAUAUUUCAUAACACCUGGUAAUCUUAUAUUUACCGACAUUCAGCAUAAUUCCACCUGUGUUAACUUUCCAUCAUGACAGCAAGAUACCUUAAAAUAAUCAACUUAAAUAAGAGAAAGGUGUAUUCUGGAUUAUGGUUGUGGAGAUUUUAGUAAAGGAUUAGUUGGCCUCAUUGCUUUGGCCAGAGGGGAUGUAUAGCAGAGCAAAAUUAUCUGAAAGAGAGAGGGAAGUGGGAAAAGAGAGAGCUGAAUUGAUGUGAGAGGUAAAAGAGUACAAGCACCCUACCCUAUUUCAAGGGCACACUCUCAAUGACCAGAGUCUUAGCCCCACUUAUUGUAAAGGUUCCACCCGCUCGCAACAGUACCAUCUUGAAGACUGAGCCUUUAAUACAUGGAUCUUUGGGGGACACUAAAAAUACAAAUUAUGGCACACAGAAAAAAACGAAAAACCAUGGGGUUUUUUUUCAUGUUGAAUGUGAGACCCAUGCUGAAGACACACACCUUUCCUAACUCAGACAUUAUCACUAGAAACUGACAUGUUAUGCCAUAUGUGUCACCAAUCUGGGGACCCCAGGCCAGUUGUACAGUCACAUGGUCAGGCUCCGUGAUAAUGUAGAGUCUAUGAUGUUCCCACCAUAGCUUAGGUUGAAUUUAACAUGACCCUAAGGAUGAAAAGGGAAAUGCAGACAUGAACACAACUUUUAGAGGCAAAUGUUUUUGUAAGUGAAUGGACAUAGGCAAAAGCUGAAGACACUACCAGUAACUGAACUCAGAAUCCAUGAAGCAAUAUGUAGUAUGGCAUACCACUUUGCUAUUGUAAACCACUUUCAUACAAAUCAUUUACUUUACUUUCCUAUCAGCACUAUAUAAUCAUUUUCAACUAUUCUUAUGAUCAUCAUUUUAUCGGUGAUAACCAUCUAAGACAAAAUAAAUGAAAACAUAUAACAAACCCAGAUCCUGUGAUGUCAAACCAGACCAUGUUCAUCCCAUGACUCCAUGGAGAAGGAAUAAAGAAGAGCAUCAUGAGUGAGAAGUCAUAGGCAAGAAAACACUAGAUUCCUAAACCUUCUGAGGCUGGAUGUUUAUUUAUUGGGUUAGAAUGAGUUUAGGGGUAUAUAAAUCCUUGGAAUUAAUUUUUUAAUCCAUGGCUUAUCAUUCCAUAUGUGCAAGAGAGGAAAAAAAAACUCAAAGUCUGGGCACUUCACCAAAAGGCUGCAAUCCAAGAAGAGGAAAAGUGAGUGGGCCACACAUGCAAGGAAGCUAAUUUUAUCCUUCUGCUAUUGCUGCCCAUUACAAACCUUCCCCUGGCAUCCAGUUAAAGUAACUCAUUUACAUCCCAUACCAUUUUCCCCCUUAGACACACAAGAGUGACUUGUUACUUGUUAGCACAGUUAGCACAGUUGCUUGUUUAGGGGGAAUCACAGCUAAAGAACUUUGCAAUCAAGAUGAUGAGCUAUCUUUCCAGAAAACAUUCAGUUUAGAAAACUUAAGUUCAUCAGGCUAGUUAAUGUCCCAGGAACCCUUCGAGCUGUCCGUGUCUAGGUGGCAAAUUGUGCAAUAAAUUUUUUUAGUAUAACAUUUUUUAAAUAGUAUAACGCUACUGAGAAAAUAUAUAAUAAUUAUAUGCAGACGUCCUUUAGUGCCUUUGAUUUUUGUAUUCAAGACAGUAAGGCAAAAAAAUGGAUGGAUCAGUGCUCCUCAAAUUAGUCAUUUGUAUUGAUAAAGUAAUUUGGACAAAAUUUACAGCAUGUGAAUAUUGAUGCAAGUCCAGAGGGGAGAGCAUACAAAAAGAUUAAUAAACUCAUUACAGAUGAAUUCAGGAAAGUAAGAGCUCAAUUAUGCAGGAAAAAAAUAGUGAGGUGAUGUACAGGGGCCAAGCAACCCAAUGUCCAGUCAGCAAUACUGAUGCUCUAUGCACUGUUGGAAGCCUUGUGGUCAGCAGUUCCCCAUCCAAUGAUGUGUGGCUGGGUCAUUUCACUGGCAACGGAACAUAAGUCAACCAGAACAAGUUCAGAGAGGGCCAUGCAGGGACUGUAAAGGUUCAUGCAUCAGGAUAAAAAUAAAAAAGAACAGAAGUUCCUCACUGCUCGACUGACAGCUAUGCCAGGGCGGGGACAGCAGGAGGAGGAGGAGGAAUUAAUUGCAAAGAAGAAGCUAAGACAUCUUUGGAAGUUCAGGCAGGAAGCAUUUAGCAGAAUCCUGGGAUGUUAAGGCUGCACGGCAUCUCGUCGAUCAUCUGGAGCUUUGGUUGGAGUUAAUGAGGCUAAAUUAAGCUAAGGAAAGUUGGGGCAAAAAGCAAGAAAAACUGCCUGCAAAUGAGAACUACUUAAUAGGGCUUUACUGACCCAAGAAGAAAUUCCUGCCUCAUUUCUUCCCUCAAAUCCUGCAGUAGGGCACCCUGUUGAAGCUUAUCAGUCAAGAUCUUUGCUUACCCAGGCCAGAAACGGCUUCUAUCCUGAGAUGUGAUUGAACAAAGUGUUGGUAGCUGCCAUGAUUUGAUAGCCCGUGGGCAUUGUUAACACCGUUGUGCACAGCAUCACUGGAUUCAAAUUUACGUAAUUACAUUUAGAAAAUAUAUUUUCUCGGUUCUGGCAUGAUAAUUUUAUUUCACACAGCCCUUUGAAUCGCAGGCAAAUUGAACUAUAUAUUAAAGUAGAUUAACUCAAGUAACUGCCAUAAAACUCAUGAAGCCAGUUAAUGCCAAAGACUCCGAGAAGAUUUGAACCUCUGCUUUUUCUCAGCCCAGCAACUUAUUAAAAUAAAUAAAUAUGUUUAGACCUUGUAAGUCAGAGUUGUCAUUAGUAAUUAGUGCAAAAGUAAAAGGAACAGUCCAAAGAACAAAAAGCCACACUCAAAAUUAAUCAUUUUUAUGUGCUCGCAAAUGGAAUAUAUAAUUAGGCAAAAAUAGAAACCGAACAGGAACAAAUUUAAAAGAGAGUUGAUGUGUAUACAUGCAUUUUUAAAAGGAGCAAUUAGAGAUGACCUGCUUGAUCAGAGUGAGUUUAGAAGCUGGAAAAGCUCGUACUUUUAUUUCAUUGAAUCUAAAAUGUCAUCAAGUAGAAGCUGUACCAUGAUUUCUACUGCCAGCAAAGAAGGGAAAAGCAAUUAAACUCUGACACGGUACUUUUGUUGUUAUUGCUGCCAUUAUCAGACGUGUUCUGAGUUUUUAAAUGUUGCAAUGCUCCCUAGAACCGUGCAUCUCAUGAUUGGUGAAAUAUAAUAUUGGAAAGUUAGCGACUCAAGGAUUGAUUACAGUCCCAAACUCAGUGAGUGUUGACAGUCUUCCCAGGGCAGUGCCCUUUGGCCCCCAAGAUCAUUUUAUUCCAGUUUGGAAGUGACUGAAAGUUUCAAGUUUUGUCUUCUGUUUUAAGAGAAAAUUAAUACAAUUCAUUCUCCAUUCUUGAAUGGCAGGAAUGAGAAAAUAUGAAGAGUUUAUGUAUAUGGCUAAAUAAGAGGAAAGAGACACUUCACCAGAGUAUAAGAAGGGAGCAUGGAGCCGGGCGGUGGUGGCGCACGCCUUUAAUCCCAGCACUCGGGAGGCAGAGCCAGGCGGAUCUCUGUGAGUUCGAGGCCAGCCUGGGCUACCAAGUGAGUUCCAGGACAGGCGCAAAGCUACACAGAGAAACCCUGUCUCGAAAAACCAAAAAAAAAAAAAGAAGGGAGCAUGGUGAUAAAAAUGUCAGGCUACCCAAAUUAAUGUACCCUUUCCGAGCUCAUGUGUGUAACUGAUUUGUUGACAGACUGCAUUGUCUUACUCUCUGUUGAUGAACCCAGCUUCCAUGUGGUCCCAUUCUCGGAACAGCUCUCAGUGUUCACUUGUUUGAAAGCUGGUGGUGGGUCGAUACUUCCAUGCUCAGUGACUUACAGAGUUCUGGCAACUUUGCACCAAGCAUCCAGGCUCAUCCGGCUGUAAGAUCUGAGAAGAAGCCAUGGCAGGAAUCUGGAUGGUGGUCCGUUACUUUCUCACCCUUCAGGAAUCACUAACUCUAAUAGGGUCCACCACUUGUUGCCUGGGAGGGAGAGGAGGCUGAUGAGGGACAUCAAGGGAAGUAUUUCAAAGUGGACAGAGCUACCGAAAGCAGGGAUGAGAGAUUAAACAUGAUGAGGAUGUGUCUGAGUGACGUCACUCUCAAGCUCCCCGACUAUAAACUCUGAUUCUUCCCCUUUGAGAUCUUUGCUAGGCCAUGCCCAACAACAGAGAUAUAUCCCAGUCCAACACUUUGUGUUCUUAAAAUGUGUUCAGUAAAAUAUGUUUUAGUAAAGAGGAAAAGGGAAAUUACUACUGCCUUCUCAUUCUAAAGAAUGUCCCAGCAUUUCUCAGCUUUGGUGCUAGUAACAUUUAGGACAGGAUCUUUAUUUAUCAGAGGACCUGGGGACUGUCCUGUACUUUGCAGGCAGUUAAGAAGCAUGACUACCUCUAAUGCUCUGAACCAGUAGCAGCCCUUUUCAGUUGUGACAACCUGUGUUCUGAUCAAGUCUUUCUAGACUUAACAAGUGACCAUGAAAGACAAUGGCUCCCCAUCCCACCUUAUUUUUAAAACCUCUGCAUUGAUCUCUUCAGAAAGAUAAUCUCCAGGGAAUGGAAUAAGUCUUCAGUUCUUCCCCAAGGACUUUUAAGGCUUUUUUUUUUCUAUGAUUCAUCAGUAUCACUCAAAGGUAAAUAAAUGGGGUCAGCACUUUUGAUAGAUUAUCUAAUCUCCAUACAGCCAGAUACAGAGCACGUUCAUUCUCUGACAAAGACUGACACUACCUCCGAUGUAUGGUCGAGAACCCUCUUUGGCUAGUUGGAGACUUGUUUUGCUGGCUCAGUUUCAAACCAAAUGCUCAUUGCUCUAUCACCAGCCUGGGUUGUCUAAUUGGAUAUGUGUUCAGGUGAUGAACCCCAACUUGUGUCUUAGUGGUCUCUAGGGGGCCUUUCAGUGUUAACUUACAUGGUUCAGAAAGUCUUUGGUCUCAUACAUUUCCCUAAGCUCUUCUUGUGUGUUCUGUCUGGCUUGUAAUGUCCCAAGCUAAGUCCUAAGAGGAAUGAUGAAACUUCACACUUACCUUUAACUGCCUGAAAGGGAAUACUUCUGAAAAAUCUAAUUUGGAAAAUGAUAAGUGGUGCCAUUACAAAAUGAAUCUUUAAUAUAAAAACAGUUCCUCACAAGAAUUCUGCUCAGUAUCAUUUAAUCUAUUAUUUUUUGGUAGAUAAAAACUGAGAAUACUUUCACCUUGCAUAUGCGUAAAUGAGAAUUCCAGAGAUGGACAAGAAUUAAUUUGUGACAAUUUAUCUUCAAAUGUAAUUGCUACAAAACUGUACAGGAACAGCAGUUGCUAAUUUAGAUGAUGCUCAGUCCCCCAUCCCUCUUUGAUCCUUAAUAUACUGCAAAUGGGUUUUACUUUUUGAUUAUUGUGUGGGCUGGGAUUUGCCUUUUUAAGAUUUUUUUUUAGUAAAGUUUGGAGCCAAAACCUAUCAAGUUAUCUUGUUAGUUCAGUUAGAAAUUCUUCUCACGAAGGAAAUGACUCAUCUUUGCUCUUGAAAACAUCACACUUGGAACUCGUCACUUAACACAUUGUGUGGAAUGCAGUUAACAAUACUUUUUAGGUGCCAAAACAUUUCCACUUCCCUUUAAAAUGAAUUUCUUCUUAAAUAAUCUGGUUUGCUUGAGGACAUAGUGCGUUAAGUCAUUGACAGUCCCCUUUCUGGCUUUUUUUGAAAGUGUGAAAUGUCUGUAUAGCUUUGAAUGUUGUCGCACAUUCCCUUGGUCUCAAAGAAUCCCUCCAUGCUCGGUGUUAUGGUUUGAAUCUGAAACGUGUCCCAGGGGAUCAUGUUUGGAAUGUGUCGUCCCCAUCUGGUGCUUCUAUUUUGAAAGGCUGUGGAGGCUUUAUGAGGUGGGUCCUACCAGGUGGAAAUAAGUCUCUAGGCAUGGGGAUUUGAAGGUUAUUACCUGGCCCUUGACUCUGGAUACACUCUGCCUCCUGCCUGUCCUGCUAUGACAUACAGCUUAUUCUUACUGUUCUUACUGCUGUGACAGCCCAACCUAAGGGACUUAAGCUCUCUAAAACCGUGGACCAAAAUCAAUCCUUCUUUUUUUCAAAUUUUUCUGUUGGGUAUUUUGCCAUAGCAAUGCAAAAGUAGCGAAGACACUCAGCAACACCAUUUUGUAAACCUCCUGUUCAUCCUUCAAACCCUGACACCAGCCCCGUGAUACUCCUAGUUUUGAAAGAUACCCAUGAACUAAUGGUCAACUUAAAAGGACUCAUACUUGUUUAGCCUUAGAUGUAUUUCAGUGCCAUUUUCCAGGGCUGACAAGAGCUUCUAUCAUGAAAUCUCCAUCCAUUAACUUCACAGAGAUGCAUUUUUCUCAUUCUCUGAUUCCUCAAAUCCCGAUUCCCUACUCCUAGCUCUUCCUGCCAAAUAUAUUGCAGAGUCCUCAGUCUGGUACAAUUUCUCUGUAUAUCCUUUUUAUUAGAAAUUCCUCAGGACUCCAGUAUCUGCCUCCCAGAUAUCACCAUUUAAGCUCCCUGCCUAUGUGUCCUAACCAUCAUCAUGAGGGUGCAACCACAUCAUGCAGAAGUGCUUGCACCCUCUUCUCACACGAAUACUCCCAGCCUCCCAUCUUAGUCUUUAACAUCAGAACCAAUGUUGCCCCCACCCAGACCCUUUUCUCUCCUGCCACACUGUGUGCCAGGUGCAAGCCACAUGGGAAGGACUUUUGUGAUGUCUCUAAUGUCUCUUCUGUUCCUUUUCAUUCUCAGAAUCAGAUGUCAGGCCCUUGUUCCCUCUCUCUGGUUUUCUACCUUCUAAACUGCCCUACAUGGUGCUGCUAGAGCUUUUCCCUUUCUUAGGAAUGGCAGCAACUUCCUCUUGCUCAGAAACCUCUAUCAUGUCUCUCGGAGCUCUCAUUCCCUGAACACAUUCCUCCUGUGUUGCUGUGUUUUCUGUGUAGACCUUGGUUUGACAAGGGCAGUCACAGAACCAGCAAUAUCAGCAGUACCUGAACUUGUCUACAUGCAAGUGUUUGGACCUUCCCCAGAUCUGCCAAUGCUGAGACUCUGAAGGUCAUCUCAAGGAAUAGGGUUAUCAGCAGCUGCCAAGCAAUUCUGAAGGCUGAAAUGUUUAGAAACAUGUAAUACCUCUUCCUAUUUUCUCUGCCAGAUUUUGCUAUACCAUUCAGUAUUCAGAAGGUGCUUUAAAUACUGUCCCUUCUAAGAUCAUCUCAUUCUCUGUUCUGCUCUCCUAGUCUCUUUGGUGCCUUUAUCAUGGCAUUAUUUCAUGCAUUUUCAAUUGUAAGCAUGUGUUGACUCUUUCUUGACAGUCUUUAACUUGGAAGACAGUGCACAUGUGUGUGCUCACCAGGAAUGUCUAAAGUGUUAUAUCCAUAUAUUUAAUGUACUCAAUGCAUUCUUGUUACUGUAGUUUGAAUAUUAAAUAUCUUAACAGGCUCAUGUGUUGCACAUGGUUGCUGGUUAAUGGCUUUAUUUUGCUAGGUCAUGGAAACACUAGGAAAUGGGCCUAACUGAAGGAAGGAACCUUUAAAGGUUCCACUUGGUGUCUAAUAUAUUGUUCGUUCUGUUUCUUAUUCACCAUCAUGGUAACAAUCUUCUUUGCCACAAGGUCCAAGAGCCAAGGUAAGGAAGCCAACUGACUACAGACUAAAAUUCUAAAACUGGGUACCAAAAGUCAGUCUUUCCUCCAGGAAGUUGUCAUGUCAGGUGUAUUGGCACCAAAGCCACUAACAUAAUCUUAUAUCUGUGAUUUGAACUCUCAUUCAGUUUUGUAAUAUUUUAUAACUAUAUUUUUAUUUAUUCUUUGAGAAUUUCAUACAUGCACACGGUGUAUUUUGACCAUGCCCACCUCUCACUCUCCCCUACAACUCUUCCCAGACCCCUCUCCAUCAUUUCCCCUCCCAACUUCAUGCCUCUUUUAAAAAACUCACUGAAUCCAAUUAGUGCUUCCCAUCUGUGGGACAUCUGCAUCUUAUUCAUCUCACUGACGCCCAGGCAACAUCAGAUAACAGGGGGCCCAGGAGAUUGCAAAACUCAAAGGCUGAGGAGGACUGCUGCAAAACAGACUGGGCAUGGCCGGACUCUGCACCAAUGAACUCACGGAGCCUGUGGUUGCCUGCCUAUAAGACCUGCACAAGAUCAAGCCCAUCAAAAUUCCAGUGUGAGUCAGGGAGAGACUCGUGAAGCCCAAUUGGCUAUCGGCAGUUGAUGACUGCCAGAGAAGAGAUUCAGUCUGCCUCAGGCAUGUGCUACUAAAUUGUAUUGAAUCAUUCAAGGUGUUCUUCAGUAAGACAUAAGCAGAAGCAAUUAUGUGUGCACACUUAGUUUAAAAACACCCAUGGGUCCAAUUUUCCUCAAGUGGAGGAAGAAAGAGCAGAGAAGAUGGAGAUAAAGAGAUGACUCAGCAGUUAAGAAUACACAUCACUCUUGAGGAAGACUCAGUGGUUCACAACCACCUAUAACUCCAGCUCCAAGAGGAUCAGAGGCCUUUGGCAUCAGCAUGCACAAGCACACAUUAUCGAGAACACAUGCGUGCGUGCACACACACAAUUUUAAAAAAAUAAUAAAAUAAAUCUCUAGAGGAGAAAAACAUGGGAAAGGAAAGCAGGAGAUACUAUAGUCUAGUUGUCAAACACGGUUGACAAUAAACAAUCCAUAAUUGCAAAUGUAGCCGUAAACAUUAUGAAACCCAACUUUAGUUUAUUGUUUUACUCAGGGUUGGGCCAGAUCUUGAAGCAAUGGUAAAUUUGCUGGUUUAAUCAUUUAAUGAUUGACAAGAAAAGAGUAAUUAUUCUACUUUAGAAGAGGCAUCUUACCCACUGAGCAUGUAGUGCUUUAAAAAGGCUGGUUAAGAACUUCAAGCUUUCCAGAAGGGAGAUAGGAAACACAUCCAGUGGGUAAAAAUCCUGAGGCAAGGAACUAUAGACUACAUGGGGGGAAGGGUGGGAUUCAUGAAAGUUCAGGUACCACUGGGUCCCCUCCAAAGAUUGAUUUCAAGGAUGCUCAGUUAUUUUUGUGCUUCCAGCCCUUGUAUAUCCUUGAGUGCCCCUUUAGGAACCCAAAGUUUCAAAACAACUUAAAUCAGUACCAACCACAGGAUAUCCCCUUCUCCAGUGUCCUGUAUCAAUGGGUGUGUAAAUACCUUCAGCUCCCCUCAGUAUCAUGUGGGUAGUGAGGAGAUCGUUGUGUGGCAGCCCACUCUGGAGAGUGGUUUCUCACCCUUUCCAUGUGGAGAAGCUUGGCGAUAACUGUACCUUUUACCUCUGCUUCUCACUGCAGAUCUCACCUCCAGCCUCUGCUGACAGUUCCUGUAGUAUAUUAAGGCACAAAAGACAUGAGCUGUAGGCAGUGACCAAAGAUGAGCAACAUAUAUGAGAUAGGAUUGCAAUACUGGAGGACCCUUAGAAGGCGUCAUCCCAAAACUUCUGAAUGAUUACAUAGUAAAAUGUAGAGAUUUGGUCUUUUAUCAAACAGAAAUAUGGCUGGUGUCAGUAUAAAACACUUCUGAUUGGAUCUCUAAGUCUUUUUAGGUUGGUUGUUUGAAGUCCUUGGGAUUGAAGUGAGAGCCUUGCAUGAUUGGUAAGCAUUCUUCUAUAAUGGGAGCCGCACACUUGGUCCUUUUCAUUUUUUUAAUAUAAAGAAUAUUAUCAUAUAUAUGUAUAUAUAAUGUGGGGAUAGUUUGGUGGUUAAAAAUGCUUGCUGCUCUUGCAAAGGAUCAGAGUUCAAUUCCCAGAACCUAAAUCAGCUGCUAAAGAAAUGGUACAGGAGGGAAGAGGGGGCUGGAGAGAUGGCUUAGUGGCUAAGAGUACUUGCUACUCUUACAGAAGACCAAAGUUCGGUUCCCAGCACCCAUGUGAGGCAGCUCACAGAUACCUCUAACUCCAGCUGUAGGGGGUCGGAUGUUCUUUCAUGGCCUCUGAGUACCUUCGUGCAUGUGCAUGCACACACACACGUGAACACACACAUGUGCACACACAUGCACACGUACACAUAAACUCUUAAAGAGUGUGAUUACUGCCAUUCCUAGUAUGUUGUAAUACUAGAAAAUUACAUUUUAUAGGAUACUACAUGGUACAACAAUUCAUUUUGAUAAACCAGACCUACAUCAUACAUUUUCUCUAGUAAUAAACAUGAAUUGAAUUUUUAGGAUGACUAAAAUACACAUCAAAAUCCCUCAACAAACACUGUUUUUAAAAGUAUCACCAAAGGACAGAUAUUUUCAGAGUUAGGAAUUUGUUUUCCUGAGAGCUGUAAUUACAAAUCGGGGGUUUUUAAUCCAGCAAUCAAACAACAAGUUGAGCAAUUACCAUUGCAUGCUUUACUAUUUUUAUGUUUUUUUUUCAAAGCAGCUGUUGUGGUUUCAAAGGCACAAAGAGGCUUGUUUUUUCCUUCCAUGCUGCAGUGUAUUGGCAAACAAAUGUCUGUUUCUCAAACAUACAGAGUCUGAUUCUGAAAGAUGAUGUUGUGACAUGUGUUCUCUCAUACAUUCCCAGUGUUUCCUUAGCUUUUGGAGAUGGGGCUAGUUUUUUUUAAACACUACACAGUGUUGAAUAUAGAGUGGAUAGCCAAGUAGUUUAUGAUUGGAUGAGUAAAUGAAUAUUGUUUGGAUUAUUUAAUCAUAUCUUUCAACAAUAAUUGUUCAUCUCUGUGAUAGCAACUUGGAAUGAAAAGACAAAAUAUUUAUUGACUUCAUUUUUUUCUUCCCCAAUAGGAGGAUAGCAGCUUAUAGAUUGAUUGGGUAGACAGAAAGUUGGAUGGAAGAUAUAUAGAUUGGUAGGUAGGAAGUUAGGUAAGUAGGUAGAUAGAUAGAUAGAUAGAUAGAUAGAUAGAUAGAUAGAUAGAUAUUUACAGAUACAUAGACACAGAAUUUCUUCAGUUGGUCAAAUCAAAGGGGAUGGUAGGUAGUAUGAAAUGGGGAGUUUUACCUAAUGUUAUUCAUUUCCUAAACUUAGGAGAGAAAGGAACUGAAAAAUAUGGAGGGGAUAAUGGGAAGAUGGAUGCUUCUAAGCCGUGCUGAUUUCCAGACACCUUGCUUUGCUAGCACAUUGUCUAGGUUAGAAGAAUCAUAUGAAGACCUUACAAAGAGCAGAUAGGGACUCUCACCAAAAUUUCAUUCCAAUCAAGCUUCCCAGUGGAUCCAUCUUAGAGUGUUUGUCCUUUAUAAUGAUCGUGGGCAUGCUUGUGUCUUCUUUUGCUGCUAUCUCUUGGACUCUCUCUCAUCCAACCUAGGACUGUUACCCUCAAUGCCAAAUAAAGGACAAAACUGGUUGAA